rnacentral:rRNA from 1 species
AACCUAGUGGCGAACGGGUGAGUAACACGUGAGGAACCUGCCCCGAAGACCGGGAUAACCCUCCGAAAGGAGAGCUAAUACCGGAUACCCCCACCUGGUCGCAUGGCCGGGUGAGGAAAUGGAUUCCGCUUCGGGAGGGCCUCGCGGCCUAUCAGCUAGUUGGUGAGGUAACGGCUCACCAAGGCAUCGACGGGUAGCUGGUCUGAGAGGACGAUCAGCCACACUGGGACUGAGACACGGCCCAGACUCCUACGGGGAGGCAGCAGUGGGGAAUCUUGCGCAAUGGGCGAAAGCCUGACGCAGCAACGCCGCGUGGGGGAUGAAGGCUCUCGGGUUGUAAACCCCUUUCAGCAGGGACGAAAUUGACGGUACCUGCAGAAGAAGCCCCGGCUAACUACGUGCCAGCAGCCGCGGUAACACGUAGGGGGCAAGCGUUGUCCGGAUUUAUUGGGCGUAAAGAGCUCGUAGGUGGCUAAGUAAGUCGGGUGUCAAAUCCCCAGGCUCAACCUGGGUCCCCACUCGAUACUGCUUUGGCUAGAGUCCGGUAGGGGAG